GUCCUCUCGCCCCGCCCGCAUGACCUCGACCUCUCGCCCACUCCUCCUCUCCGUUCCUCCCGCAGCCGUUAGCCGCCGGAGACGCCCGCCACGCCCUUCGCCGGGGGAGCCGCCGCCGAGCCCGUCCGUCGCGCCCGAGCCACCGCCCUUCGCCGCGGGAGCCGCCGCCGAGCCCAUCCAUCGCGCCCGACCUGCCGCCUGGCACGGGCCAGGGUGCUGGCGACGCGAUGAAUCGUCCACGUCGGCCCCUCACCGAUCUGUGCCUGCUUUUGCAUCGUCAUGCCGCCGUCUUCAUCGACCUCUCACUGCGUACUGUUAUGGGUGGCCGGCGAACAAACCCACCUACUGCCAUAUUCGUCUCAAGAUUGAACGCACCUCACCCAUCGUUUCACAGGUCAGCCCCCAAUUUGUUGUGCCACCAUCCCUGUCACUGGUACAACAGAUCCAUUCGUUUUUUUCACAUUUGAGAGAAGAUGGAUAAGUAACAAAUUUGUGUCCAGAUUAUCUUCAGUUCGUGCUAUUUAUCCAUCAGUAUGUCAUACUCAUGUUUUGAUCCCAGAGACCCAUAUCCCAAUGUGUUUAUGUAUUUGUUGUUCAAGAGAUGAACAAAUGCGCUCCUGUCUGAUCGAUAUUUGUGAAUCUGCAAGCAAGGGUGAGCUACAAGGUAGCGACGCCGUGGGCGGCGGUGGCGAGGCUGGCCGCUGUUGGCAGGAGGAAUUCACCAUCGGCCCUCAAAUCCACCAUACUACGCUGCUGCACAAUCUCAACCAGGCGGGGAAUUCUUCUUAUGUGGCGCACAUUAACACUUAUCUGGGUGAAAACCCAUUCUUGAAGAAGAACUUGCCAAUCGACCCAUCCGGCAGUCAACUUAUUAGGGAUGGUGUUAUUUUCAGACCAUGAGAUGGAUUUCUAGAUAGCUACAGAGUCCUGCACAUUUACUCUUUGCACAUAAAUUGUCUGCUAGCCGUUGCUUAUGUUAAUUCAUUGCUGGAUCGUUUGUCAAUAGGUUGAUCAAUGUAGCUAUACCUGGAACCAUUAAUGAGAGAGCAAUAAAUAAGAAAAGAGUUCUUAACCCAUGGGACAUGAAUGAAAAUCAUACGCCGUGCCUCAACUCUGCACAGGCCAUUGGAUGUACUGUGUCAACAUUGGCAGGCAUGAUUUAGUGGAAGGAAGGGUAUAUUUUGGUAUCGAAUACUCUUGUCAUUGCUAAAUGUUGUGUAUCCUUUGGGCUUCUUCACUGUAUCCCAACAAAUAAACUAGCAUGAGCACUAUAUAAGCAACUGUUAUUAAAUACAAUUUUUUUGUUCGGCGGGCUAAUUGAGUUGUAGGACCAAGUAGAAUUUUACCAAGGGCACUUAAUUGGAGAUGGAAAGAACAGGUGCAUUGAAGUAGAUUACACGAUGGGUAAAGAACAAGCCAGAGUUCAAACUUCAUGUGCACCUUUGUUGUUGCUAGAUGCUUACUUGUCAUGGGAAUGUUCAUGAUCCGCGAGCCAGGGCAUUCGGUACUAACCAGUGACCAAGAAAAGAGUUGAAGGGGUGACACAUUAGGAGCACGAUAGCAUUUGAGGACUAGCCACAUGGUACCAUGUAAGUGCAUCUAGUGCACCUUAGUGAUUUUGGUGUAUUGAAGACUUAUAGGUUAAGGGACUAAUGUGUUUAUGAGUGUACACAGGUCUAUAAGUCUAUGAGGAGUUUGAU